rnacentral:tRNA from 1 species
GCGAUGUGGCCCAGCGGUUAGAGCGAUCGGUUCAUACCCGAUAGAUCGGUGGUUCGAUUCCACCCAUCGCC